UACAGAGGUCUCAAGCGUUGUUCGGAUUCAUUGGGCGUAAAGGGUGCGUAGGCGGCGCGGUAAGUCGGGUGUGAAAUCUCGGAGCUUAACUCCGAAACUGCAUUCGAUACUGCCGUGCUUGAGGACUGGAGAGGAGACUGGAAUUUACGGUGUAGCGGUGAAAUGCGUAGAUAUUGGGAAGAACACCGGUGGCGAAGGCGGCGACCUGGUCCGAUACUGACGCUGAGGCGCGAAAGCGUGGGGAGCAAACAGG
rnacentral:rRNA from 1 species